GCAUUUGAAUGUUUUUCUGCUCCACUUUCACAGCCUCUACUAAGACUGCAAGCCUUAAAACUUUUAGUUAUACCUAUGCUGAAAGGUAUAAGAUGCUGAAUGAACAGCAGGGCCACUCCUCAGAGUAGCCUGGACUUUUGGAUAAUACUAAUAUCUGCAUUUAGAACAGGAACGGAACUAUGUGCUACUCCACUGGGGAGAUGUAGUCACUGGGAUGAAGUGCAUCUUUUUGCCUGAAAUUUUAUGUGAGCAGUCCAAGCCUUGGACUCCAUAUGGCCAAUGCUUCACUAUUGCUCUGGAUUCACACACUAUUGGCAUCAGUAUUUGACAAAUAGGAAGCUCUUCAUAGUAAGUUCUUACCUUUGCUAUACUGACCAUACACUCAAGAUGGAAAAUCCUGGGAUUCUGAAGAAGACAACUCAUGGCACAGAAUGCAAUCAAAAUGGUACAAACAUAUUAAGAACACCUCAAAAUCCACAUUUAAAGUCUCUCUGGUCAAUAUGAACAAGUGUGAAAAAGAGACCCUGUAUAGAGGCAUGCAGGGAUGCACAUAACUUCUAAGGCAAAGUGCACAACCACUCUGAAAUAUGGUAAUUCAUUCUUUGGAGUUUCCUGUUUUCCUCUCUGACUCUUCAGCUGUCAUGAUCAACUUGUCACAGCUAUGUCACUUUGAACAGCCGUCUCUCUGACAGAUAAAUGUGUGUUGCAUGAGUAUGUAUACAUGCCUUACAUCAUUAUCGUAUAACACAUCCUCGGGCACUCCUGCAGCUAUUUGCAGAAUAUCUGGACUUCUUGAAUUUUAAUAAAUCACCUCUGACCAAAAUA